GGGGAUUUAGCUCAGUGGUAGAGCACUUGCCUAGCAAGCACAAGGCCCUGGGUUUAGUCCCCA
rnacentral:tRNA from 1 species